CAGACAGACAGAAAUCGGCAUUCCCGCGGAUCAGUGACAGGAGAGCCUGGACCGGGAUUGACCACCGGGACAGCAGGAUCUAUGAGCUCAGGCCUGGAGACGUCUACAUUGAAACAGUCUGAAGGAUAUUAUUCUGGAGAAAACACCUGGAAAAUGUCCCCUGUCCCAGCAGGAGAUGCCUCCUCAGAUUCUUCCUUGGUCACAACUCGGGAACCCCAUCAAUCAGCAACUGAAGAAUUUGGUCCAGGUCUGUCCAGCACCCCAGCAGGAUCCAUGAGCCAGGGUACAGAUUCCAUGUUGGAGACUGCUCG